GUGAUGACGUCACAGUUCCUUCGAUACGCAUAGCAACGAUCCCACUGGGGACAAACAAAAGUAGCGUCGUCUCCACCGAACCAGUUGUCAGUGGCAACAUAUAGGAAUCGUGUACAUUUCUUCGUUUCUUCUUUGCUGUUUUCAGUGAGUGUUUUGUUUUCUCUUUGUCCUUGAUCUCGACGGCGUUGUCGUGCUCAUUACCUUACUGAGACGUCUCUUGUGACUGUAGCCAGUGUCAUGGAGGAUUUUAUUGGCGUGACGAGGUAGAUCGCCGAGAUCGAGCGUGAAAAACGCUCUGCAUUAGUAGCUCCUGUAGAAUGUCUUCUGGGAUGGCGUAUCCAUGGUCAACAAAGCCAAGGUGCAAGACAGCAUAAGAGAUCGUGUAAACGAUGUGAACUCCAAAAGAUAAUCUGGACAAAUAAAUUAUAUUGUAACUGGAGAGUGCAAUCGUGCUUGGGACCCAUCCCAAUGUCAUCACAUGGCUGUGGUGACUAGUGUAUACCUGGGAGAGUUUUUCCUCAACUGAAACGGAGUGUAGAUGGAUGGAUUAUGAGAAAUGCCGCGGAAGAUGUGGAGUUCAAGGCUAGAUGCACUUCACAUUCGGCGUGGGAUCUCGGCGUCUCGGACCUGAUAACGUCUUGGUUGGAUGGGUGAUCAAGGAUGAUACUACUCGGCACACCAAUGUACAUGUCAAUGUAGUUUUUACUUUUUCAGAGCUGCACUAUUUAUGUCUUGAUGCUUACUUCGGUGCUAGUGUCGUGUCUGUGUGCUGCUACAAUGUCAUUAUCUGUAUUGUAUUCCGUCUGCUUAUACAUGUGUCUUUAUGAAGUGUUUGCCAUGGCGGCGAUGUGUCUUGUCGAUCAAUAGUGUUGUGAAACCUAUCACUAUUCAUGCUUUGCUGGCUACUCGCUCGCUCCGCGCCGUGCACGCUACUAGGUCUUGUAGUAUAUAGCUCGAUGCUUUCCAUCGAUCGCUGGUUGUUGUUGUUCUUGUUGCUUCUCUGUUGUUUGAGCUUGGUCCUAGAGUGAAGCUUUGGUCUUCUUGUGUGGUGAGGGUGAGGAAUGGGUAUCUGGACUCCUGGUAUAUUUCCGUAAAGAACCUGGAAUUGUAGAAUCCUGAGAGUAUGUCUGGCCCACUCCCCGGUCAUGACAUUAGCGUGUUUCCCCCGGAUUAUUUCUAUCAUCCUGCGUGUUCUUGGGCUGAGCGAGCACAUGCACGAGUGUGCAGCUAUAACCCUGUG